ACUCCUACGGGAGGCAGCAGUGGGGAAUAUUGCACAAUGGGCGCAAGCCUGAUGCAGCCAUGCCGCGUGUAUGAAGAAGGCCUUCGGGUUGUAAAGUACUUUCAGCAGUGAGGAAGGUGGAGUCGUUAAUAGCGGCCUCAUUGACGUUUAGCUGCAGAAGAAGACACCGGCGUAACUCCGUGCCAGCAGCCGCGGUAAUACGGAGGGUGCGAGCGUUAAUCGGAAUUACUGGGCGUAAAGCGCAUGCAGGUGGUUUGUUAAGUCAGAUGUGAAAGCCCGGGGCUCAACCUCGGAAUUGCAUUUGAAACUGGCAGACUAGAGUACUGUAGAGGGGGGUAGAAUUUCAGGUGUAGCGGUGAAAUGCGUAGAGAUCUGAAGGAAUACCGGUGGCGAAGGCGGCCCCCUGGACAGAUACUGACACUCAGAUGCGAAAGCGUGGGGAGCAAACAGGAUUAGAUACCCUGGUAGGAUAGCGU
rnacentral:rRNA from 1 species